UGGGUUACUUUACUUUUCAUCAAACUUUUUCCUUGCAAAAAAGUUUCUUCUACGUGCUCUCCAAGCGAAAUCACAAAAUCAAAAAACAAGAUUCAAGCUAAAGAGAUAAUAGAGUGAUCGUUUAUCACCUGUACUUGUUCACACUGAAGUCAAAUGUGAGGAAUAGAGCCCAUCCUGAAGGUUCAAUUGCUGAGUGGUAUAUAGCAAAUGAAUCUAUGACAUAUUGUUCUAGAUACUUUGAAGGUGUUGAAACAAAUUUUAAUCGAUCAUUAAGGAAUGAUGAUGAAGUUGAUCUGCCCCCACCACAAAAUGCUCCUUUGCUUAUUGUACCAGGUUGUCCAAUUGGAAAAGUAUUUGAUGCAAUUCUUGAUGAACAAACACGUAUGCAAGCACAUCGAUAUGUUCUAUACAAUUGUGAUUCCAUCACUCCAUUCAUUGAGGAGCAUCGAAACAUAAUUAAAAGACAAAAUCGUAGUAAAAAUCAUAAUCGUGGAGCUUCUGAUACCGAGUUAGAAAGACUUCAUAAUUCAACAUUUAUUAGUUGGUUCUGCUCUCAUAAUUUGAAGAAGAUAAUUGGACCAAGAAUGAUAUUGAUGGCAUAAUUGUUGAUAUAGAGGAGGGAGCUAAAAAAAGUUGAUGAUGCAUUAGAAGAAGAAUAAUGCAUCACUUUCAAGUCCAAGUUUGGUCUUCAUUGCUUCUGCAUGUUGUUUUCUACAGAAUCUGGUGCAGAGUUCCUCUACUCGCUUUGGUUUUUAGUUUUUUGCUUCUCUUGCCUCAUGCACAUAGCUAUAUUAAUAUUUUAGCUUUGUCUCAUGAGUUUUUGGAUCUUUGUAAUGUCCAACUUUAUAUGUCUGUUUUCACUUUGCUAUAGUUGUUAUCUAAUAGUCUAUAGGUUUUUUCACUUAGCUAGUUGUUGCCUAGGAUUAGGCACAGGGGUGAGACCUAUCGGCCUGGUUUUAGCUAGCGAUCUGAUUUUUAUUUAAUAAAAUAUCAAU